rnacentral:lncRNA from 1 species
AGGGGACCCGAGUUGCGUGCCUUGCUGAUCCCAAGGUCUGCUGGUUUUGGCUCUGGCCCAUUCUUGCUCUUCCCUGUUCUGCUUCUCAGAUUCGGUUUGCUCUCACCACUUUUACUGUGCUUUGCACCAUCCUGCCUGUACUUUUGGGUAAGCAGGGAGGGCGUCUAGAUCAUUUGGAUGCUUGUUACCAUUGAUUCUCUGUGAAGUCCUCCUUUUCCUUCUCUGUUUACCUGCCUGGCUGCCCAGGUCGCUCUGCAGAGGCUCUUUCCAGGUGGAAAGUCUCAGGGACUUUGGGAACGCCUUCCCAUUCACAGGAAUUAAAUCCCCGUGAUAAUGUCUCUAGAGGUGGGGCAAUAUGUGCUGAGACAAAGCCUGUAUAUAUUUUCCUUGUUUUGUAGGUGAACCUGAGACAGAGAGAGAGAGAAAGAGGCUGAUCUGCCCAAAGUCCCUUAGCUAGUAAGUGGAUGAGCUGGAGCCCGAACCCAAAUCUUUUGCCUCUCAAUCCAGUGUCCUUUCUAUGACAUGUAGGCAUUUUAACGGUAAGAUUUGGAACCAUACAGACAUUUAGCAAAAGCUGAUUUUAAAAAUUGCUUUAGAGGGGCAGCUAGGUGGCGCAGUGGAUAGAGCACCGGCCCUGGAGUCAAGAGGACCUGAGUUCAAAUCUGGCCUCAGACCAAACACUUGACACUUACUAGCUGUGUGACCCUGGGCAAGUCACUUAACCCCAUUGCCUACCCCCCCCCCCAAAAAGAGCUAAAAAUUGCUUUAGAAUGUGACCUUCUGGAGUUUAUGUUCCUCAAUGAAGUUUAUCCUGUUGAUAACUUAGACUUCAGCUCACGGAAAAGGAGAAGAAGUGAACGGGCAAGUUGAUUCACUUCAGCCAACUGCUAUCCUUCCUGAAUACAGGCAGCAAAGGAACAAGGAUGACCAGAAGGGUGGAGAAUCCACCUAAGCAGCAUCUCAGAUCAGCUCCAUCUUCAGAGGAGAGCCAAGGGAGUCAUUAGGAAAGCGGAACCUUGGCUGUGGCUCACCGUGGCAGCCCCGACUGGAAGGAACAUCCCCAGCAGACUGAAAAGUGAUUCAGAAGAGUGGUGGUCUUGUCAACGUGAGUGGGCUUUAAGGCCCCCAGUCUCAGCUUUCAUAGCCAUAAAAGUAAAUUUGAGGCUGGAGUAGAGGAGGCUGGAGAGAGAAUGAGACAGCUAUACCAGCCCAUUUCAAAGGGACAGGGUCAUGAAAAAAGUAAAUUGAAUUGUGCCUUGUCAGAGCCAGAGUGGAUGCUCAAUAAAUUCCUGAUUUCAGUAUAGAAGCA